GUGUACUCUCUCCGUUCCUAAAUAUAAGUCUUUUUAGAGAUCCCAAUAUAGACCUAAAUUAUGUGGUUCUCUAUAUGUGUGAUCUUGUUCCUUGCGUUCUUCUGUCAUUUGACAAUGAGCAGAUAUUAAUCUACAGAGGCAGUGAAGGGAACUCUAGAUACUCAGCUUUCGACUCUCACUCCAAAAGUUCAAAAGAAUAAUCUGGCAGUGCCAUCUGCUUUGAGUAUCUCAGGAUGGGUUGUUAGAAGAGAUGGAAGGGAAGGCGCAAGAACAUAAUAAGAAGGAUGUUGCACAACAAGAGAAGAUAAAGGAGCUCGAGAUUGUUGUAGAUAAGAUUAUCAGUUUUUACUGGUGGCUGUUAGAAGCUGUAGACAAGAUGCAUUUUUAGUAGAUUCAAGUGAGUUUAUUCAGAUUAGCAUAAAAAGUGCAGAGGAUCGUGCAAAGCUUUGUUAUCAUUUGAUUAUUUCACUAGAUAUUUUGUUCA